rnacentral:rRNA from 1 species
UACGUAAGGGGCAAGCGUUAUUCGUCAUUAAUGGGUCUAAAGGGUACGUAGGCGGUAUAGUAAAUCAAGUUUUAUUCACCUAAGAGUGAAUUUGGUAAUGCAAUACUAGAGUUUAAGGAAGUAACAAAUACUAGGAGAGGAGUGUAAUAAUACCUGGAGUACUCACGGGGUUGCGAGCGGCGAAGGCAUGUUACUAAUAAAGAC